rnacentral:rRNA from 1 species
UAGGGAAUCUUCCGCAAUGGACGAAAGUCUGACGGAGCGACGCCGCGUGAGCGAAGAAGGUCUUCGGAUCGUAAAGCUCUGUUGUUAGGGAAGAAGAAGUGCCGUUCGAACAGGGCGGCACGGUGACGGUACCUAACGAGAAAGCCCCGGCUAACUACGUGCCAGCAGCCGCGGUAAUACGUAGGGGGCGAGCGUUGUCCGGAAUUAUUGGGCGUAAAGCGCGCGCAGGCGGUCCCUUAAGUCUGAUGUGAAAGCCCACGGCUUAACCGUGGAGGGUCAUUGGAAAAUGGGGGACUUGAGUGCAGAAGAGGAGAGCGGAAUUCCACGUGUAGCGGUGAAAUGCGUAGAGAUGUGGAGGAACACCAGUGGCGAAGGCGGCUCUCUGGUCUGUAACUGACGCUGAGGCGCGAAAGCGUGGGGAGCAAACAGG